UAGCGGAGGAAAAGAAACCAACAGGGAUUGCCCCAGUAGCGGCGAGUGAAGCGGCAAGAGCUCAGAUUUGAAAUCGUGUUUCGGCACGAGUUGUAGAGUGUAGGCGGGAGUCUCUGUGGAGCGCGGUGUCCAAGUCCCUUGGAACAGGGUGCCUGAGAGGGUGAGAGCCCCGUAGGGUGCUGCGCGAAGCUUUUGAGGCCCUGCUGACGAGUCGAGUUGUUUGGGAAUGCAGCUCCAAGCGGGUGGUAAAUUCCAUCUAAGGCUAAAUAUUGGCGAGAGACCGAUAGCGAACAAGUACUGUGAAGGAAAGAUGAAAAGCACUUUGAAAAGAGAGUGAAACAGCACGUGAAAUUGUUGAAAGGGAAGGGUAUUGGGCUCGACAUGGGGGGUGCGCACCGCUGUCUCUUGUAGGCGGCGCUCUGGGCGCCCUCUGGGCCAGCAUCGGUUCCUGCUGCGGGAGAAGGGGCUCCGGAAAGUGGCUCUUCGGAGUGUUAUAGCCGGGGCCAGAUGCCGCGUGUGGGGACCGAGGACUGCGGCUUCUGUCUCGAUGC
rnacentral:rRNA from 1 species